rnacentral:rRNA from 1 species
AGAAUCAACGCUGGCGGCGUGCCUAACACAUGCAAGUCGAUCGAGAAAGUGGAGCAAUCCAUGAGUAAAGAGGCGCACGGGUGAGUAACACGUGACUAACCUACCCUCGAGUGGGGAAUAACCGUGGGGAAACCCGGGCUAAUACCGCAUAAUACCCACGGGUCAAAGGAGCAAUUCGCUUGAGGAGGGGUCGCGGCAGAUUAGUUAGUUGGCGGGGUAAUGGCCCACCAAGACGAUGAUCUGUAUCCGGCCUGAGAGGGCGCACGGACACACUGGAACUGAAACACGGUCCAGACUCCUACGGGAGGCAGCAGUGGGAAUUUUGCGCAAUGGGAGCAAUCCUGACGCAGCGAUGCCGCGUGAGGGACGAAGGCCUUCGGGUUGUAACCUCUUUAGUUGGAAGAACAAGACGGUACCAACAGAAAAGCACCGGCUAACUCUGCGCCAGCAGCCGC